rnacentral:rRNA from 1 species
GAUGAACGCUAGCGGCAGGCCUAAUACAUGCAAGUCGGACGGGAUUCAGGAGCUUGCUUCUGAUGAGAGUGGCGCACGGGUGCGUAACACGUAUGUAACCUACCUUUAUCAGGGGGAUAGCCUCUCGAAAGAGAGAUUAAGCCCGCAUAAAAUCACAGCACAGCAUUGUGUAAUGAUCAAAUAUUUAUAGGAUAAAGAUGGGCAUGCGGAACAUUAGCUAGAUGGCGGGGUAACGGCCCACCAUGGCGACGAUGUUUAGGGGAUCUGAGAGGAUGGCCCCCCACAGGGGGACUGAGACACGGCCCAGACUCCAACGGGGGGAGGAAGAAAGGAAUAUUGGACAAGGGGGGGAAGCUGGAACCCGCCAGGCCGCGGGAAGAAAGACGGCCUUAGGGUUUUUAAAUUGUUUUUAAGGGGAAAAAACCCCGAAUACGUGUAUGUGGCGAAAGGUACUGAAAGAAAAAGGACCGGCUACCCCCGG